rnacentral:rRNA from 1 species
GAUGAACGCUGGCGGCGUGCCUAAUACAUGCAAGUCGAGCGAACGGACGAGAAGCUUGCUUUUCUGAUGUUAGCGGCGGACGGGUGAGUAACACGUGGAUAACCUACCUAUAAGACUGGGAUAACUUCGGGAAACCGGAGCUAAUACCGGAUAAUAUUUUGAAUCGCAUGGUUCAAAAGUGAAAGACGGUCUUGCUGUCACUUAUAGAUGGAUCCGCGCUGCAUUAGCUAGUUGGUAAGGUAACGGCUUACCAAGGCAACGAUGAAUAGCCGACCUGAGAGGGUGGUCGGCCACACUGUAUCUGAGACACGGUCCAGACUCCUGCGGGAGGCAGCGGUACAGAAUCUUCCGCAAUGGACGAAAGCCUGACGGAGCAACGCCGCGUAAGUGAUGAUGGUCUUCGGAUCGUAAAACGCUGUUAUUAGGGAAGAUCAUAUGUGUAAGUAACUGUGCACAUCUUGACGGUACCUUAUCAGAAAGCCACGGCUAACUACGUG